UGCACAACCAUCCAAACAAAAGAGGAAAUCUCCCAUUAAAAGGUCAACUACCUAAGAUAAAUCUAAGGGAAAGCAAACAUUUUAUUCUGGUAGAACCACAAGGAGCAUGAUGAUAGCUUCAUGCUAAGAUGGUAGUGGAUAAACUUCUUCAACACCCAAUUCGUGAAAUAACAAGCGACAGGCUCUCCUCGACCAUCUAGGAACACAAGAAUUAGUUGUAGGAAACAUGAGUAAAUCAUCGCUAUUUUGUUUUGAAUGACUUUUGCUGUUUGUCUUGUGAUUCACAGUAAUAACUUGCUAUUGAACUUGUGUAAUUACAUGGAAAAAAAUGUAACUUCAUUAUAUA